GAGCCAAGCGCCUCGAAUCACUGCGGCUGUGCCGUCACGGAUGAGGAGAAAGGCGACAGAGGGAGAGAGAGAGUCCGCGGUGGAGAAAGGGAAAGCGCGCUCGCGAGGGAUGUCGAAGCUGCGCUCCGCCGCUGUGCUGCGCGAGGUCGCCGCCGUCACCUCAAGGCUCGCCAUCGUCAUCCUCGGCGGGUGCCCUUGUUGCCGCUGGUGGAGUCGAAUCUGCCGCUGGUCUGAGCUAAGAAGAAACGCAUGGAGAGGUGGUGAACGAAGCCAUCGCAGGAACCGCCGUCUAGAAAGGGUUCAGGUCGCCAUUGAUGGGGCUAGCCGGAACUGUUCCGAGGUUUUUGCCGUUGAUUCUGAUUUUGUUCUGUUUCGGUUGCAGCUGUUGCUGCCUCUAGUCGCCGGAAAACCACCACUACUCCUUCUACCCUGCCCCUGUUUCAUUAGGGUUUGCUGCUUUUCAUGGUGUUGAUGUUGCUGCUGUUACUACUGCUGGUUCUAAUGCCAUUUCUGCUGUUGCUGUUAAUAUAGAAUAAGUUGUUGUUGGACCAUCAGAGUUUCUGGCCGCUGUCGGAGCUGCCGCCGGAUCAGCUCGGGAUUGCGGCUGUUCCAUUUUGCUCUUACUGUAGGAUUGAGUUGUCGGGAUUGCCUGUUGCAAUUAAAACCGUUUCUGCUAUUGCGGAAGUGAGCAGACAUGCAAUUGAAGCUGCAGUUUAUUUCGGGCGGAGAGGAACGAUUUUUGUGACGCCUUUAGUUUAUGGGUUCAACUUUCGAGGUAGGGGUUUUUCUUAAAAUCUAUUUUAUAUUACAGAGUUGUGAUAAAUAGAUAUCGAUGCAAAGAUAUUUACUUCUGUGAUUAUAUUUAUCUUAUGGAUGUGAUGGUUUGUUGGACUGAAUUAUUGGGUGCUUGAUUGCGUGAGUGGUGUGUGGUUGUGGAUAAAAAUCGGUUUGGAAUGUCAUUUACUUUAUUAUUAAGAAAGGUGGAUUUUCUUGGUUUUAGAGUUUACUUAGUAAUAUAAAUGAAACGAUUUUGAAAAUAAUUUGAGAUAUGA